GACGCUACACGAAAGCGUUAGCAAAAACAGGAAAAGCGUCGAGAAAUCUCUAUUUCUACAAAAAAAAUAUAGUCUAUUCCGACGGUUAUAAGCAUCGUUGUAAAUAUUUUUUAAAAAAAAUUAUUUACAAAUCUCUGGGGCCUUGAGGACGGCUUAUAAGCCCUAAUCGUUGCCGAUGCUACAUGAAGAAGAAGAGGGAAGAGGCAACCUAGCCCUGAUCA
rnacentral:lncRNA from 1 species